AGGACAAUACUGCUUUUGAAAAGCAGAGUGCUCUUUUCGCUUUGGCUGUCUCCGAUAUAGUGCUCAUAAACAUGUGGUGUCAAGAUAUUGGCCGUGAAAAAGCUGCCAGCAAGCCUCUUCUGAAAUCUGUAUUCCAGGUCAUGAUGCGAUUGUUUA